UGUGAGCACAUGGUGUGAGCUUGCAGGCCAGGAGGAGUCUGUUGGUGUCUGCAGGUGUGUGCAAGUGUCUGUGGAAGUCUGUUCAGGGAUCUUAAUUGGUUUACCCAAACUCAAGCUGGAGAGAUGUGUGGAGCCUCAGCCACAGACCCUGACUGUUGGGGGAUGCUUUGCUAGCAGAAUGCAGAGCUGUUGGAAACCCAGUUCCUCCUUGAAAGUGGUUCAGAAUUGGAUUCCCCUGGGAAUAUGGGGACAGAGACAUCUCUCUGGUGAGUUGCUGUGAAGUGCCAGCCUUGGGGAGUGAUCUCUGACCACCUUGAACUUCUUAUUUGGAGGAAAGGAAUUUCUUCCGUAGGCUUGUUACCUCCUGCUCUGUUAGCCCCUUUUGUAGAAGGAAGGAGAGGAGUUGGAUUAAAAGCCCUCCUGGUCGGUUCUGCUGAUUGGGAGGGGUUUAGUAUUUCUGUAUUACUUUUACUACUUGUUGCUAAUUGUCUGUGUUUGUAAAUAUCUGUAUUUGUUGUGUAUAUGUGCUUGUGUAUUUGUGUCACACUGUAAAUACAGCUUAAUUUCUUAACUUCCA